CCUUCGGGGGGGCGCAUUGGGGAAUAUUGGACAAUGGGCGAAAACCUGAUGCUCCGACGCCGCGUGGGGGAUGACGGCCUUCGGGUUGUAAACCUCUUUUGACUUGGACGAAACGCAAGUGACGGUACCUGUAGAAGAAGCACCGGCUAACUACGUGCCAGCAGCCGCGGUAAUACGUAGGGUGCGAGCGUUGUCCGGAAUUAUUGGGCGUAAAGAGCUCGUAGGCGGCUUGUCGCGUCGACUGUGAAAACCCGCGGCUCAACCGCGGGCCUGCAGCCGAUACGGGCAGGCUAGAGUUCGGUAAGGGAGACUGGAAUUCCUGGUGUAGCGGUGAAAUGCGCAGAUAUCAAGAGGAACACCGAUGGCGAAGGCACGUCUCUGGGCCGAUACUGACGCUGAGGAGCGAAAGCGUGGGGAGCGAACAGGAUUAGAUACCCUGGUGACCACGCUGUAAACGUUGGGCGCUAGGUGUGGGGGACCUCUCCGGUUCUCUGUGCCGCAGCUAACGCAUUAAGCGCCCCGCCUGGGGAGUACGGCCGCAAGGCUAAAACUCAAAGGAAUUGACGGGGGCCCGCACAAGCGGCGGAGCAUGCGGAUUAAUUCGAUGCAACGCGAAAACCUUACCCCGGGUUUGACAUCGCCGGAAAACUCGCAUAGAUGUGGGGUCCUUCGGGCCGGUGAAAGGUUGUGGCAUGGAUGGUCGUCUGCUCGAGUCGUCAGAUGCUCGGUUUAGUCCCGUAACGAGCGCAACCCUCGAUCGAUGUUGCCAACUGGUUAUGUCGGGGACUCAUCGAAAACUGACAGGGGUCACACAAAGGAACGGGGGAGAUGACAUAAAGUAUCAUGGCCCUUAUGUCAUGGGCUUCA
rnacentral:rRNA from 1 species